rnacentral:rRNA from 1 species
UGGCUCAGAUUGAACGCUGGCGGCAGGCCUAACACAUGCAAGUCGAGCGGUAGCACAGAGAGCUUGCUCUCGGGUGACGAGCGGCGGACGGGUGAGUAAUGUCUGGGAAACUGCCUGAUGGAGGGGGAUAACUACUGGAAACGGUAGCUAAUACCGCAUAACGUCGCAAGACCAAAGAGGGGGACCUUCGGGCCUCUUGCCAUCAGAUGUGCCCAGAUGGGAUUAGCUAGUAGGUGGGGUAAUGGCUCACCUAGGCGACGAUCCCUAGCUGGUUUGAGAGGAUGACCAGCCACACUGGAACUGAGACACGGUCCAGACUCCUACGGGAGGCAGCAGUGGGGAAUAUUGCACAAUGGGCGCAAGCCUGAUGCAGCCAUGCCGCGUGUAUGAAGAAGGCCUUCGGGUUGUAAAGUACUUUCAGCGAGGAGGAAG